rnacentral:lncRNA from 1 species
AAGAGAAGGGAAGGGAAGGAAACGGAGAGGAGAGCUCGCUUCGUGUUCCUCCUCCUCCUCCUCCUCCUCGACGAAGAAGAUAAAGGAGACGACGAGCGUCCAAAAGACUCCUCUGUCUUCCACCUUCCUGACGCAAACGAGAGCUCGACCAUGUCGGAUCCCGCGUCUCUUCCGCCCGGCUUUCGCUUCCACCCCACCGACGAGGAGCUGAUCCUGCACUACCUACGGAACCAGGCGGCCUCCCUGCCGUGUCCCGUGUCCAUCAUCGCCGAGGUCGACAUCUACAAGCUCGAUCCAUGGGACCUUCCUGGUCGGUAACCUGACGAGCUCCAUGCGCGUAGGAAGGUGCGCGUCUUCUUCUUACUUGGUUCUUCUGUGGAUUGGUGGCGUAGGCAAAGCGGUGUUUGGGGAGCGCGAGUGGUACUUCUUCAGCCCCAGGGAUCGCAAGUACCCCAACGGCGUCCGGCCGAACAGAGCCGCCGCCUCCGGCUACUGGAAGGCGACCGGGACGGAUAAGCCCAUCCACGACAGCAGGGGGAACGAGCGCAUCGGGGUCAAGAAGGCGUUGGUGUUCUACGAGGGAAGGCCUCCCAAGGGGAGCAAGACGAACUGGAUCAUGCACGAGUACCGCCUCGAAGAAGCUCGGAGGAGCAACUGCUACAAGCUGAAGCACGCCUCCAUGAGGGUAACCAUGACCUCACCUCUCCCACCAUCUCUUCCUGCACUCGAUGCUGGCGAGCUAUUAAAGGUGCACGUCGAUCGCAGUUGGAUGACUGGGUCCUCUGCCGGAUCUACAAGAAAAAGGGCAACCUGCAACCGGUGCCGCCAUCGAUGGACGAUCGAGAACGACAAGAUCCAGCAGACUCUGCCUCGUCCAGCUUUCACGGCAUGAAUCGAGCUCUGUCCAUGGCAGAUCUCAUGGAGGACUACUCAGCACCGUCACACCUGUUCGCUAACCUGCCGGUGAUGCAGGGAUCCGAGCUUGGCUUUCUCAGGGCUCAACCGAGGAUGGAUCAUCAGCUCUUACGACCUGGAAACAUCGACGGCAGCAGCGAUUUCCACUACCAACUCGCUCGACAGAAGAAACCCAGUGAUGCGACCAUCUACACCGCUGACUUCAGCUCGCUGAGCCAACGAUUGCUCGAUCUGCCCGGCUCUCAUCUGUGAUUACAUCGAGCGAGACGCAGAAACAGCUUGCAU